UUGAUUCUGGAACAUCAGAGGACCGAUGUCCCCACUCUCUACCUUCGAACAGGGGUUCAGAUCUAUGACCGGACAAGCGUUCUUCACGUGAUGGUCAGAAAAGGUGAAGUUACCGGCGUGGAGACAGAUAAAGAACAGAUCGAAUGCCAGUAUUUUGUCAACUGUGCUGGUCAGAGCCCCUGCUGAGUUCUCUCCUGCGGAGGAUGCCAGAGCUGGAGACUCUGGAGAUCAUGAAGUUGGUGAAUUGCCCCGAGACCUUCACACCAGACAUGAGGUGCAUCAUGGGCGAGUCUCCUUUGGUGCGGGGCUACUUUGUCCUGGCAGGAAUGAACUCUGCUGGCCUUUCGUUUGGCAGGGGAGCUGGCAAGUGUGGCCAAGAACGCACAUACUCCUGACGUACCUGUGAGCCAGCGUCUGUGUGGGAAACAGAAGAACCAGGUCCUUCAUAUGAAGUCAACUGUAAGGAUGUCAAAUUCAGUGACAGUGACUUCAGGAGGAGGAACGGAGGCUCUCUCUCUCCAGCCAGGCCACCACUGACUGCACUACUGUACCUGCUUCAUCUCAGUCACCACAUUGUUUACUUUGUAACACAGGAAUCAACAGUUUUAUGUGUGAUGUUUAUCUUUGUGAUGGCGAACACAUACACAUAAAGAAUAUUUCGCAGACAAGGUUCAAAAAGAUCCUUCAAUUGAAUACGCUAAGGAGCUAGAUGCAGCGUGAAGAGCCCUCCCCAGGAGAGACAAGAGG